AAUCAACGCUGGCGGCGUGCCUCAGACAUGCAAGUCGAACGCUGCUGUUCGCCUUCGGGUGGACAGCGGAGUGGCGCACGGGUGAGUAACACGUAGGUAAUCUACCUUUGGGUGGGGAAUAACAGCCGGAAACGGCUGCUAAUACCGCAUAAUGCAGCGGCAUCACAUGAUGACAGUUGUUAAAGCGGGGAUCGUAAGACCUCGCGCCUGAAGAGGAGCCUGCGGCAGAUUAGGUAGUUGGUGAAGUAAUGGCUCACCAAGCCUGCGAUCUGUAACCGGCCUGAGAGGGCGGUCGGUCACACUGACACUGACAUACGGGUCAGACUCCUACGGGAGGCAGCAGUCGGGAA
rnacentral:rRNA from 1 species